UUCACAAAUCCAAUAUCUACUACCACCGUUUGCAAGAAUUUUAUCAACCCAAGCUGGGGUUAGUUUGUUUAUUUUUCAUUCGUUUUUGGAGUAAUGUUUUGACUCCUUGGCUCUGAAAUUAAGCCACAAAAAAAAAAAGCUACCAUUCCAUAAAGAAACCUACUCCACAAUUCCACGGCUCGCAAUACUCCCACAAACACUGGGGCUCUCCUCCUACUGUGCUCUUGCUGCAGUGCAGACUGCUGCCACCUGCCCUCAAAGAAGAAAUAUUACAGUUCACGUUUGGAAGACAUCUCACCACACUAUGGAUUUAAUCCUGGUUAAGUAUGUUGCCUGUGGCACCCUUAAACACGUGAGUGGCUUAUCAAUUUUCCCCUACUCACCUUCCAUCAUUCCAUUAAUUAUUUCUUCUAAUUUAUAUCCCUCUCUCUUUUUUUGCAGUUGCAAUUUACUGACGUCAUGUCUCACAUGCAUGCCUAACAUUGGACCUGGAUGUGGAUGAGGAGGAAGCAAAUAGAAAAACACAUGAGGUUUUUUCAGCACUUCAUAGUUUUUUGACAUCGAAAUAAUUUCUUCUAUGCCAUUGUCAGUGUAUCACCUCCACACUUCCCAGAGCUACAAAUCUAAACUCAUGCUUUAUCUUGGCCCUGGUAUUUUGAUUCCAUUCUGACCACCAGGGAUCUGAAUGCUGCUCAGCUCCAUGCAAGAUAACAUAUUUAUCAGCAUAUGACACGCACAUUUAACUCCUGAAAAGCUUUCUGUUAAAGACGGAAGAAAGAGUGAAGAUAAUGUUGAAGAUAAAGUUCUUAAAGGGUCCCAGUAGGUUGCAGUUUGCGCAGUCCUCCUUGAUAUAUCAAUCCCCCUUCAAAUCACAGUGUCCCUUUCACAGUCACGUUCUAAAGGUAUGAGGUGUCAUUUUUGUACGAAUUUUUAAAUUGAACUUUUAGGUGUAUUACAUGAAAAUGCCUAUGUGUAAAUAGGGUACAUGAUGAUAAUGGAGUUAGUGCUGUGUCCUGUUUCUUCCCAGAUCAUGCACUUACCCUGAGGAGGAGCAAUGGUCCUGCCAGAAGCCGAUGCUGGAGGGUCUUGAAUGCAGCUUUCUGUUAAAGACGGAAGAAAGAGUGAAGAGUCAAGCUCUAUGAUUUUGACCCCUGCUGCUGAAUCCAGGGACAUCCUCUGCCAGAAGGACAUCUCUUAGCUCCGCCUCCCACUCUCGCAACUUGAUAGGCUUUCCUCGGUUUUGUCCUAGUCGAAGCCUCUGCAUCUUCUUUGUAACCGUUGCCCGACAAUCAUAGAACCUGCAAAUGUACAUAAACAUUACAAUUACAUUAAUAAAAAAACAAAUACUUAGAUUAAUGUUUUUUGAAAACCACAUUUCUUUUCACAUUGUGAUGGUUAUAUGUAUACUGUUCAGCAUGUGGCUGUGACAAAUAAAUUUUUUGGUUACGUUGAACUGUUA